UACGUAGGUGUCAAGCGUUGUCCGGAAUUAUUGGGCGUAAAGCGCGCGCAGGCGGUCCUUUAAGUCUGAUGUGAAAGCCCACGGCUCAACCGUGGAGGGUCAUUGGAAACUGGGGGACUUGAGUACAGAAGAGAAGAGUGGAAUUCCACGUGUAGCGGUGAAAUGCGUAGAGAUGUGGAGGAACACCAGUGGCGAAGGCGACUCUUUGGUCUGUAACUGACGCUGAGGCGCGAAAGCGUGGGGAGCAAACAGG
rnacentral:rRNA from 1 species